UCCGCCAUGAAUAAAGAAGAGUGUUUAAUAACCGGCUUCGAUGACAUCAUGCAUUCAUGAAACGAGUCAGAACACUUCAUUUUAACAUCCAAAUAAUAACAUAUUAAAUACAAUCAAGCGCUCUAUAUUUGCCCUGGUGGGUGUACGAUUCCCUUAUUUGUUUCACAUUCCCCGAACAAUUAAAUUAAGCGCUACUUGCGAACCAGCCUGACCAUCCACUGAUAUCUUGCUUAUAGGAGAUUUCAGAUGUGUAUGUGACAAUGCACUAACAACAAUAUGUGUCAAACAUUUUGAAGAUAGAUAGAUAGAUGAUGGAUUAAUUACUAUAAUAGACCGAUAUUUUUACAUAUAUACAGUAAUGUAUAGGUGUCCUCUCUCUAGCCAACUCUCAUCUAAUCCCUAACAGCUGGUAAUGGUGCUAACAUUUAAGUGAUUAGAAGUUACUCUAUUUAGCGUGUUGUAUCCUUCUUCUGUGCGUUUUGGUUACAGGUUAUACGAUUAGGUUUGCGAGAACAGUAGUGAACUAAACUUCCCAGUGAGAGGUCUUCACACCAGGGAAGUGUUACUUUGCUGCAGCAGCCCUGCCUCGUCGCUCAUUAGGAAGCUGCAGGUUGUCAGGCGCUUCUCUUGCGCGCACACGCACACACAAAACCGCCGCACUACAACUAAAUUAAGAAGCCGAUGAUUAAGACAAGCGUCUGCUAGGCCUGUCAUUUCAGCAUCCUUCCAUCAUAACAUUGUGGCACAGGGAAAUUUGCUUGAAAACCUGGAAAAAAAUUCUGUGGGAGAGCCUCUUAUAUGAGAUACAGUACCAUAAAUGCUAACUUCAAGGAUAGCCUGGGAGCUACUUCGGAUGCAAGCUAGGAAUCCACAGAGGAAAUGGAUGCUGCAAAGACCAUUGGGCGAUCCAGGCACUUCCUUAAACUCUGAUGCCAAGAAUUGGGAACAAUGACUACCUUCAGGUCUGGCCAUUCAAAGAAUAUAUGAGCAAUACCAUUUCACGUAUUCUAACAAUUUGCAAAUCAUGUUCAACUUUUUAAUGUCGUGGAUACAUAUUUUGUCAUAUGAAAUUCAAGUGACAGUGAGAGUAAGAGUCUUUGUAUCAUUCUUCUAGCUUUUUCUAGCCUCAGCUUAUUACAGAGCGUUGCUUAUUGUGUUAAGAUCUUGAUUUAUUUGUAAAAUUAUCUGUAUUGCUCUCUGCAUAUUGCUGCAACGCUGAGUGAAAUAACCGAGAGCGCUGCAUCUUUCUAAUGCAUUAUUUCCAUACGUGAACAGUUCAUUUAUGUGUUUAUCUAUUUAUAGUCUAUACCUAAAAAUAUUCAAGUACUUCUUGGUCUUGUUACCUGUAAUCGACACCAAAAAGAACAUACGAACAGUAUACAGAUAAUUGCUCUGAUUGCUUGGAGGAAUGUAAUUGGCUUUAUAUUUUUUCUGUUGCACUGUGUCUAUACCUAUUCUCCCUUGAUAAAUAUUAAAAACUGAACUGCUUGUCUGGACAUGUUCCUCUGUUUUGAAGCCCAAGAAGCACAACAAAAUCAUUACAAUAAAGUGAUCAAAC
rnacentral:lncRNA from 1 species